GAUAUUUCGCGAUAAAUUGCUCAACACUUCUGCACAUACCGGACUUUCGAUAACGAACGGCACCUGCAAACAAUUCGAGACAAACCCGACGGCGCGCGAGGAACCGUUACGUUACUUGUAUCGUUAACGUUUGGACUGAUUGGAAACAAUCGACACUAAAGCCGAUGAUAUAUUUCAACUCACUCUACACUGGCGUCCUCCAAGAUCGAAUCCGGUGGCACAAAUAAUAGCAAAUUCUCGACUUGGGGAAACGAUGGCGAUGGCCGUACCGGCGGAAAGGCCAAGCCAGCCCAUGAAGCUUAAACCCGCGAGUCCCCCGACCAGAGCGCCCUGUCGCGAGUUUAAU